AUGUCAGCGCGGGACCGGGAGACGAUCGAGGCGCUCGCGCGCGUCGCGGCCGCGCUGGACGGGGCGGUGCUCGGCCUCGGCACGGCGGCGCUCGCGGCCGCGUCCCUGGCCAAGUACCUCGCCGCAUCCGGGGCGCUCCGCCUCAUCGCCGAGGCGCCGGCCCUGGCGAUCCCCGACCUCCGCUACUCCCUCCUCGCGGGGCUCGGCGACGGCGAGUCGCGCCUCGCCGUCGUGCGGGGCCUCGUCCGCUCCCCGCCCGGGGGCACGUUCCUCAUCCCCCCUGGCUCCCGCGAGCACUGCGUCGUCACCAGGCACACCCAGACGUGCUUGUUCGGCGAAUGGAGAGGCAUCUUUGGAUGGACUUUUGACCUACAUGCUCUCUUUUUUAAAUCAUUGAAAGAGCAAAUUAUAACAUCAUCUCGAUGGGUUCCGUUUGGUCUUGUGGAUCCUGCUUCCGAGAAAUCAGGGGAAAUGGUACAUGUGAAGUUUGAUGGGGCUGUUCAUCAGUCAUUACCUCUUACAACUGUGUAUCACAAGCUUAUCCCAGUUGAGCAAAAUUCUUACACAUUGUUUCAGACUAUUGUUGGCAAUGGCUAUCCGAUUGCGUUAUUGGAUGAGGAAAAGAUUCUUCCUAUCGGAAAGGAGAUUACAGCAAUAGGCUUAUGUCGAUUAAAGAAUCGAAGUGUUGAGAUCAGCUUGUGCCCAGAGCUUCCAUAUUUCUUGUCUGACCUGACCAAGGGUGAGAUGGAAGCCGAGAUGUCCUCACGUGCUAGAUUCUUCUUCUGGGUUACUGUUGCUCUUGGAACCGUGUCAGUUGGCUUACUAGGCCAUGCCAUUUACAGGUUAUGGGAGAGAGUUAAACGGCACAGAGAGGCAAGAGAAGCUCAAGAAAGAUUUCACGAGGCUGACAAUGAAGAUGAUGCUGGAGAAAAUGGUAGCGACGACGAGCCUGGUGAAAUGGGAGAUGGGCAGCUAUGUGUCAUAUGCUUAAGGAAAAGAAGGCGGGCAGCUUUUGUUCCUUGUGGUCAUCUUGUCUGCUGUUGCAACUGCGCGAAAAGGGUGGAACUCAUGGAUGAACCAUUGUGCCCUGUGUGUAGGCAAGACAUCCAAUACAUGCUCAGGGUUUAUGACUCUUAA
rnacentral:rRNA from 1 species